CUCCAAACUUAUUGCGUAUAUAUUUUGCGCAGUUGAUGUUCCAAAGUGGUUUCGCGAAAUGCUCCUGGUAUUGCUAGGUUUCUCUAUAAGCACUUUCGUGUGGCAGAUGGUCGAUUAUAGAACGUGUUGACACUUAUAUGUGGGCAAGAAAAUUUUAACUAAACUCAAACCAUUUAUAUGGCCUCAAAUACUUUACUACUUAAUUAAUAUGGAAAGCAUUGAUACGUUAUUUUCUCACCCCAUUAGUCCCAAUGCUGUUGCAAUUGUUGACACCCAUCCGAUGCUAUAGCGCUUUUAAAACAGUUUCAUGACGCAUUUAUUUCCUGGGCAGAUUUUACUAUUUUAUUAACACGCUAUACGAAGUAACAGAUGCUGGUCAAGCUACUGAGUUA